CAAAUAACCAAAAUUUUAUUUACCCGCCCUUUUCUUCCAACAGAACACUCAGAAAGACCACAUAAAUAAAUACUGUAUCUAUCUUUUAACCAUAAUUCAUAGUUUAAACAUUAAAUAAUCUUUAUUCAUAGACACUCUGUCCCAAAAAAUAAAUAAGCAACCUGAUAGAAUUAGAGAACAUCUUCCGAGACACUUAGUUUGCACUCUGUAAAUAGAGAUCUACUGUAUCUAGAGAUUUAAACACAAAAACAGAAAAAGGAACAAAAAAAACUGUUCAGUUUUUU